ensembl:processed_transcript
GCUGUAUACUGAGCACAAACACAGAUGAGCCGAGCGAUCUGCUUGAUGACUCGACUGAUCUUGACGGCUGCUUCGCGCUCCAAUCCGUGUAUCUGUGUUUGCACUGGGUGAAGAGCGGAAAACUGAGCGCAAACCAAACACAGAUACACGGAGACUGAAGCGCGAAGCCGUGAAGAUCAGUCGAGUCAUUCGCGCUCAGCGGCGCUUCUAUGUUAGCGGGAAAUAGCCGGGUUUAAAACUUCAGUACCAGGACAACCCUAUUAUAGAUAACACGAGGGUGUGCUGCAGAAGACUGCAAUGUUUUAUCACUCACCGGGUUACAUAGGCUGAAGCAGGCAAGCGUCCUCACAGUGUUUAACUAGUGCCAUGAGCUGAAGUCUGGGAGGACACUUAAGCGCAUCACUGAGAUUGUGAUCUUGUUUGAUGCUAAAUUGCUUUUAAUUGUUUAAAAUAAACUUACUAAAUAAUAUUAAAGUGAUGGUUACACCAUUUCUGCAUUUUGAAAUCUCUGCAACAGCUGGAGGUGUAUAGUUCACGGCAUGUUACUGCAAUGUUUACAGUGCUGGACCUAUACUUCUGGGUUUCUUCCCACCGCAGCCUCGCUUUGA